AAAGCUUUAAGUUAUAAAACUAUAAACCUUCAAAGUUUAAAAUAUGAUAAUAAUUCAUAAGCUUUA
rnacentral:tRNA from 1 species